rnacentral:rRNA from 1 species
CCUACGGGUGGCAGCAGUAGGGAAUAUUGCUCAAUGGGGGAAACCCUGAAGCAGCAACGCCGCGUGGAGGAUGAAGGUUUUCGGAUUGUAAACUCCUUUUGUUAGAGAAGAUAAUGAUGGUAUCUAACGCUUAACACCCGGCUAACUCCGGCCCAGCCGCCGCGGUAACACGGAGGGUGCAAGCGUUACGCGGAAUCAAUGGGCGUAAAGAGCGCGUAGGCGGGAUAGCAAGUCAGAUGUGAAAUCCUAUGGAUUAACCAUAGAACUGCAUUUGAAACUGGUAUUCUAGAGUAUGGGAGAGGUAGGUGGAAUUCUUGGUGUAGGGGUAAAAUCCGUAGAGAUCAAGAGGAAUACUCAUUGCGAAGGCGACCUGCUAGAACAUAACUGACGCUGAUGCGCGAAAGCGUGGGGAGCAAACAGGAUUAGAUACCCUUGUAGUC